rnacentral:rRNA from 1 species
CCUACGGGGUGCAGCAGUGGGGAAUAUUGGACAAUGGGCGAAAGCCUGAUCCAGCCAUACCGCGUGUGUGAAGAAGGCCUUCGGGUUGUAAAGCACUUUCAGUGGGGAAGAAAGCCUUGGGGCUAAUACCCUCGAGGAAGGACAUCACCCACAGAAGAAGCACCGGCUAACUCCGUGCCAGCAGCCGCGGUAAUACGGAGGGUGCGAGCGUUAAUCGGAAUUACUGGGCGUAAAGCGCGCGUAGGCGGUCUGAUAAGCCGGUUGUGAAAGCCCCGGGCUCAACCUGGGAACGGCAUCCGGAACUGUCAGGCUAGAGUGCAGGAGAGGAAGGUAGAAUUCCCGGUGUAGCGGUGAAAUGCGUAGAGAUCGGGAGGAAUACCAGUGGCGAAGGCGGCCUUCUGGACUGACACUGACGCUGAGGUGCGAAAGCGUGGGUAGCAAACAGGAUUAGAUACCCGAGUAGUC